CGAGUACGAGACGCUAAGGCGUCGAAGUAGUGUAUGUCAGACUUCCAAGAAAAGCUCGCAAUGCCAUAUGAUAAAAAAUGCCUGUACCAUAACCGACACAGGUGGGUAGGUAGAGUAUACUAAGGGGCGCGAGAUAACUCUCUCUAAGGAACUCGGCAAAAUAACUCCGUAACUUCGGGAGAAGGAGUGCCUUAUCCUAUAAGGUUGCAAUAACAAGAUCCAAGCAACUGUUUAUCAAAAACACAGGUCUCCGCUAAGUCGUAAGACGAUGUAUGGGGGCUGACGCCUGCCCAGUGCCAGAAGGUUAAAGAAGUCGGUUAGCAUUAGCGAAGCUGGUAACUGAAGCCCUGGUGAACGGCGGCCGUAACAAUAACGGUCCUAAGGUAGCGAAAUUCCUUGUCGGGUAAGUUCCGACCCGCACGAAAGGCGUAAUGAUUUGGAUACUGUCUCGGAGAGGGGCUCGGUGAAAUAGACUUGUCUGUGAAGAUGCGGACUACCUGCACCAGGACAGAAAGACCCUAUGAAGCUCUACUGUAACUUGAAAUUGAAAUUGGACUUUAUUCGCGCAGUAUAGGUGGAGGCGUUGAUUAUAAUCUUGCGGGAUUAUUGGAGCCAUCAGUGAGAUACCACUCUUGUAAUGUUAGAUUUCUAACUUUGAAUCAUUAUCUGGUCAAAGGACAGCUUCAGGCGGGCAGUUUGACUGGGGCGGUCGCCUCCUAAACGGUAACGGAGGCGUACAAAGGUUUCCUCUGAACGGGUAGAAAUCGUAUCUAGAGUGUAAAGGCAUAAGGAAGCUUGACUGUGAGACCUACAAGUCGAGCAGGGACGAAAGUCGGUCUUAGUGAUCUGACGGUACUGAGUGGAAAGGCCGUCACUCAACGGAUAAAAGUUACUCUAGGAUAACAGGCUGAUCUCCCCCAAGAGUUCACAUCGACGGGGAGGUUUGGCACCUCGAUGUCGGCUCAUCGCAUCCUGGGGCGGUAGUACGUCCCAAGGGUUGGGCUGUUCGCCCAUGAAAGCGGUACGCGAGCUGGGUUCAGAACGUCGUGAGACAGUUCGGUCCAUAUCCGGUGUAGGCGUUAGAAUAUUGAGAGGAGCCUUCUUUAGUACGAGAGGACCGAGAAGGACAUACCUCUGGUGUACCAGUUAUCGUGCCAACGGUAAACGCUGGGUAGCUAUGUAUGGAGUGGAUAACCGCUGAAAGCAUCUAAGUGGGAAGCCCACCUCAAGAUAAGUAUUCUCAUA
rnacentral:rRNA from 1 species